GAGGAAUGUAUAGCAAUAGCUACUUGUAUCAUUGUAAUGAUGAUGCAAGCUCGACUAUGUUGAAUAAAAUUCUAGGUAGAAUUAUGAUAAUGACAUUGUCUGCCUAUGUGUCUUGACCAAAUUACGUGCCAGCAGUCGCGGUAAUACGUAGAAGACUAGUGUUAUUCAUGUUUAAUCGGUUUAAAGGGUACCUAGACGGUAAAUCAAGCUUUCAAAAAACAGAUCUAAAGAAAAAUCAAAUAAACAAUAAUCUUAUUAAAAGGACUAAUUUACUAGAGUUACACAUGUAGGGGCUAUAAAGUACUAUUGGUGUAGAGAUGAAAUUCUGUCAUACCUAUUCUGUAAAAGGGACAUAUGGCACAGGUAUAGGCGAAGGCAUCUCCUUACGUGAUAACUGACGUUGAGGGACGAAGGCUUUGUAUAGCGAACAGGAUUAGAUACCCUAGUAGUCUAAGCAGAAAAAGAUGAAUGUCAUAGAUUAGACUAUAGAAUAGUUUAUUCUAUAAAUGAAAGUGUAAGCAUUCCACCUCACGAGUAAUUUGGCAACAUUGGAACUGAAAUCAUUAGACCGUAUCUGAAACCAGUAGUGAAGUAUGUUGUUUAAUUAGAUAGUGCGCUAAGAACCUUACCACAACUUGAAUAUUUAUAAUUAGAUUGUAUUUUUUUAGGCAAUCUAUUAUAUUUACAAGUGUUGCACGGCUGUCUUCAGUUAAUGUCGUGAGAUGUUGGUUAGUUCCAUUAAAUUAACGCAAACCCUUACUUUAUUUUUAGAUAAAGUAGUUCUCCACUAGAUUGGGUAGGAUAACAGGGACUAAGACAAGUCAUCAUGGCCUAAAUGUUGUGGGCUAUA
rnacentral:rRNA from 1 species